rnacentral:rRNA from 1 species
UACGAAGGGGGCUAGCGUUGCUCGGAAUUACUGGGCGUAAAGGGCGCGUAGGCGGCUCAUACAGUCAGGCGUGAAAUUCCUGGGCUCAACCUGGGGGCUGCGCUCGAGACGUGUGGGCUUGAGGACAGGAGAGGCUCGUGGAAUUCCCAGUGUAGAGGUGAAAUUCGUAGAUAUUGGGAAGAACACCGGUGGCGAAGGCGGCGAGCUGGCCUGUAACUGACGCUGAGGCGCGACAGCGUGGGGAGCAAACAGG